CACCGUGGGGGGGCUCGGACAGCCGGGAUUGUCCCUGCUCUCUCCCUGGAGGUGACAUGGAGGGGACAUGGAGGGGACAGGGCACAGGUGGCAUCACUCGUGGAGAGCUCAGACCUCCGGAACUGUCCCUGCCCUGUCCUUGGUGACAUGGAGGUGACACAGCACAGGUGACAUCACCCAAGGUCACUAUGGGUGGGGUUUGUCCCUGCAGGUGACACGGAGGUGACACGGCACAUGUGGCACCCCCAGGGUCACUGUGGGCAGGGUUUUGUCCCUGCAGGUGACACAGAGGUGACACGGCACCGGUGGCACCCCCAAGGUCCCUGCGGGGGGUGCAGCCCCCCUGGGUGACCCCAGAGUGUCCCCUCUGUCCCCGCAGUGGCCGCAGGGGUCGGUGGCUCCCUCGUGUCCCUGCUCCUGCUCCUGGGGGCCAUCGCGGGCUGGCGCCGCUGCCACCGCCAGGCCCCCAGGAGCCCCCAGGACAGGAGCCCCGCGGUGUCCCCUGAGCAGGGGGAGGUGCUCUACAG